GUCUACAGCCAUGCCACCCUGAACAAGCCCAAUCCCGUCUGAUCUCGGAAGCUAAGCAGGGUCGGGCCUGGUUAGUUCUUGGAUACUUGGAUGGGAUACUAGGAAGACCAGGUGCUGUAGGCA
rnacentral:rRNA from 1 species